CUCGAGUGGCGAACGGGUGAGUAACACGUGGGUGAUCUGCCCUGCACUUUGGGAUAAGCCUGGGAAACUGGGUCUAAUACCGAAUACACCCUGCUGGUCGCAUGGCCUGGUGGGGGAAAGCUUUUGCGGUGUGGGAUGGGCCCGCGGCCUAUCAGCUUGUUGGUGGGGUGAUGGCCUACCAAGGCGACGACGGGUAGCCGGCCUGAGAGGGUGUCCGGCCACACUGGGACUGAGAUACGGCCCAGACUCCUACGGGAGGCAGCAGUGGGGAAUAUUGCACAAUGGGCGCAAGCCUGAUGCAGCGACGCCGCGUGAGGGAUGACGGCCUUCGGGUUGUAAACCUCUUUCAGCAGGGACGAAGCGCAAGUGACGGUACCUGCAGAAGAAGCACCGGCCAACUACGUGCCAGCAGCCGCGGUAAUACGUAGGGUGCGAGCGUUGUCCGGAAUUACUGGGCGUAAAGAGCUCGUAGGUGGUUUGUCGCGUUGUUCGUGAAAACUCACAGCUCAACUGUGGGCGUGCGGGCGAUACGGGCAGACUGGAGUACUGCAGGGGAGACUGGAAUUCCUGGUGUAGCGGUGGAAUGCGCAGAUAUCAGGAGGAACACCGGUGGCGAAGGCGGGUCUCUGGGCAGUAACUGACGCUGAGGAGCGAAAGCGUGGGGAGCGAACAGGAUUAGAUACCCUGGUAGUCCACGCCGUAAACGGUGGGUACUAGGUGUGGGUUUCCUUCCUUGGGAUCCGUGCCGUAGCUAACGCAUUAAGUACCCCGCCUGGGGAGUACGGCCGCAAGGCUAAAACUCAAAGAAAUUGACGGGGGCCCGCACAAGCGGCGGAGCAUGUGGAUUAAUUCGAUGCAACGCGAAGAACCUUACCUGGGUUUGACAUGCACAGGACGCUGGUAGAGAUAUCAGUUCCCUUGUGGUCUGUGUGCAGGUGGUGCAUGGCUGUCGUCAGCUCGUGUCGUGAGAUGUUGGGUUAAGUCCCGCAACGAGCGCAACCCUUGUCCUAUGUUGCCAGCGGGUUAUGCCGGGGACUCGUAGGAGACUGCCGGGGUCAACUCGGAGGAAGGUGGGGAUGACGUCAAGUCAUCAUGCCCCUUAUGUCCAGGGCUUCACACAUGCUACAAUGGCCGGUACAAAGGGCUGCGAUGCCGUGAGGUGGAGCGAAUCCUUUCAAAGCCGGUCUCAGUUCGGAUCGGGGUCUGCAACUCGACCCCGUGAAGUCGGAGUCGCUAGUAAUCGCAGAUCAGCAACGCUGCGGUGAAUACGUUCCCGGGCCUUGUACACACCGCCCGUCACGUCAUGAAAGUCGGUAACACCCGAAGCCAGUGGCCUAACCC
rnacentral:rRNA from 1 species